AAUCACUUGAACCCGGGAGGCGGAGUUCACGUGCCUGCUUGGUUUCCUAGAAUAUCUUCUCCAUAAGACAUGAGAUUCAAGCCUGGGAUAUUGUAGUGAAGAAGAGAGAAAGAGAAUGGCAACACCUGAGUUCCAGGAGUCAGCCUGCUAGUAGUAACAGCUAAGUCUUGGUGUUGCUAUGGGGUGGUCUGGCUCUUCAACUAGGCUUUGAUAUUCUUCUAUUGGACAUAAACAAUCUCAGAAAACGUUAAUAUCAGACAAGGCUAUUCUGUCACCAUGAUAGACCAAGACUAAGGCAAGACCACUUCAUAAUAAUUCCUGUACAAAGGCAAAAUAUGAACAUUGUCCACAUCAAAUAAGUGACUAAACAUUUCUUUAAACCAGUUAAUACGAGUGAAUGCUAUUUCCUUAUGAAACAGUGUUAGACUUGCUCUCAUCUAUCUCCCUUCUAGAUUAAACUCAGUCAUAGAAUUGUCUAAACUUUAUGAUAGCAUCCAAUCCAGAGUAAGCCCACUUCUUUCAAUCCUCCCGAAAAUCACUAAAGCAAAGUUCAGAUAGAGUAAGUCAUUUCUAAAACCCAUUUACAGAGAUGCUCCACAAUUCCCCAUGAUGUGCAUUGUCCUUUGCUACGAUGGGAAAUUAACUCAACUUGUUCAAAUACAGGUGUGUUCUUUUUUCUCCUUAGUAGAGGGCAUUGAAUACAAGAGAGAGAGAAGAGAACACAAAGCAGUUUCAGAAAAACACCCAAAAUAAAUCACAAGAAGUAUACCCAAAAUACUUGAAACUUUUCUUGUGUUCCACCAAAAUCUCUAAAUCCCAGAGUAUAUCCUUGAAUUUCAAUUCCAUCAUGUUAGAAUUUAUUUUCAAAGAUGGAGGAUAGAGUAAAUGGUCAAUGCUUCUCUGGUGCAGAGAGGGGUCUUCUUAAAUAUACCCCUAACUUUAUGUCCCAUUGAAAAAAGUAAUAAAAGUAAAUUAAUUAAGAGAAUAUUGACCUCUGAAAAAAUUGCUUGCUCCUUCUUACAGAUAUUUAUGUCAGAGCACAGGGAAUAGUAUUUUAUCACCUUCCUGACUUUUUAUUCCCAUUGCAUAAAUCUGUCAGUGAGCAAGCUCUAUCCCCAGCUGGGCUGGUCUAGCUACAAAAUAAGACAGGCAGAUACCAAUGCAAAACUGUGGUUUAUUUUUGAAAAACUUUUACCUCUGCUUUCAUUUUGGCUUUUAAUAAGUUUGACAAUUCUCAGCAUUUUUUUUUUUUGCUUUUUUGUCCAAAUUUCCUGCCUGAUGGGGAAGUCUGAGGAUGAUUAAUGUUCAAGAAAGUUGUGAGGAAAUGUGCCACCCAAGUUUAAUGCAUUAUUAUUUUACUAAAUCACAAUUUUCUUGGUGUCCAUAUCAGUAGCCUAACCUUAUGCAGUAAUAACUGAUUCAGACUUCAUUUAUAAAACGGAAGGGAAAAAUGCAAGAAUAAAAAGGAAGAGAAUUCACAGCAGAGCAAAGAGAAAUUACUGCCAUAUGAACUCUAACACUGUAGCAUUCUUUCACGGUCUGGUACUUUUUAAUCUUGAGUCAUAGAUGGAAAAAUAAAGGAAAAAAAUUGAGGCACAACCAUUCUACAGUAGGCAAGGCAAUUGAGAUUGCUUGGAUUCAUUACUCUGAACUCCAGCAAACAGCUACAGAAUGCCUAGAAUUCCCCAGACAUGACUAUUACAGCUCUCUGUGGUGGCUCAACAGACUUCGUUUUCAGAUAGGUUAUUUGGAGCACCAAUUUUCUUUCUAAAAAUCUUUGUUUUGGCCUUGAUUUGGAAAUAACCUAUGACCGUAGUAUUUAUUUUUCUGCUUAAGAAUUCAUAGAGAAUUUUGGUUUGGGCAGCAUGACAACUUUUACUUAAUAAAAAUAUGAGAAAA
rnacentral:lncRNA from 1 species